GAUGAACGCUAGCGGGAGGCCUAACACAUGCAAGCCGAGCGGUAUUGUUUCUUCGGAAAUGAGAGAGCGGCGUACGGGUGCGUAACACGUGUGCAACCUGCCUUUAUCUGGGGGAUAGCCUUUCGAAAGGAAGAUUAAUACUCCAUAAUAUAUUGAACGGCAUCGUUUAAUAUUGAAAGCUCCGGCGGAUAGAGAUGGGCACGCGCAAGAUUAGCUAGUUGGUGAGGUAACGGCUCACCAAGGCGAUGAUCUUUAGGGGGCCUGAGAGGGUGAUCCCCCACACGGGUACGGAGACACGGACCAGGCUCCAACGGGAGGCAGCAGUGAGGAAUAUUGGUCAAUGGGUGCAAGCCUGAACCAGCCAUCCCGCGUGAAGGACGACUGCCCUAUGGGUUGUAAACUUCUUUUGUAUAGGGAUAAACCUACCCUCGUGAGGGUAGCGGAAGGUACUAUACGAAUAGGCACCGGCUAACUCCGUGCCAGCAGCCGCCGUAA
rnacentral:rRNA from 1 species